GGGUCAGUAGGUUGGUCGUGCCACCGGUACGUACUGGUCUCACUGAUUCCUUCUUCCUGAAGAACCGUAAUGCCAUUAAUUUGGUGUUGCGGGGAAACAGGACUGUUACUUUGAAAAAAUUAGAGUGUUUAAAGCAAGCUAACGCUUGAAUACAUUAGCAUGGAAUAAUGAAAUAGGGCGAUCGAUCCUAUUUUGUCGGUUUCUAGGAUUGACGUA
rnacentral:rRNA from 1 species